CAUGUCCUUAGAGUUAUAUUUAAGGUCUAACCUGCCCACUGAAUUAUUUUAAUGGCCGCAGUAAUUUGACUGUGCAAAGGUAGCAUAAUCAUUAGUUUUUUAAUUAAAAGCUUGUAUGAAGGGUUGGACGAGGUAAAAUCUGUCUCUAAUUAAUUUAAUUUAGAAUUUAACUUUUAAGUCAAAAGGCUUAAAUUUAAUUAAAAGACGAGAAGACCCUAUAGAUCUUUAUAAUUUAAUUUUUAAAUUUAAUUAAGAAUUUUUACAAUUUUAUUAAUUAAAUUAUUUUAUUGGGGUAAUAUAAAGAUUAAAUAAAUUCUUUAUUUUUAUUAACAUUAAUUUAUGGUUUUUUGAUCCAAUUUUAUUGAUUAUAAGAUUAAGUUACCUUAGGGAUAACAGCGUAAUUUUUUUAGAGAGUUCUUAUCGAUAAAAAAGUUUGCGACCUCGAUGUUGGAUUAAAGAUUACUUUAGGCGCAGAAGUUUAAAAAUUUUGGUCUGUUCGACCAUUAAAUCUUUACAUGAUCUGAGUUCAGACCGGCGUAAGCCAGGUCGGUUUCUAUCUUUAAUAAAUUAAAAUAUUUUAGUACGAAAGGACCAAUUAUUUAAUAUAGUAUAUUUAAAAUUUGAUUGUUAUUAA
rnacentral:rRNA from 1 species